GGGUUGUGAGGUUAAGCGACUAAGCGUACACGGUGGAUGCCCUGGCAGUCAGAGGCGAUGAAGGACGUGCUAAUCUGCGAUAAGCGUCGGUAAGGUGAUAUGAACCGUUAUAACCGGCGAUUUCCGAAUGGGGAAACCCAGUGUGAUUCGUCACACUAUCAUUAACUGAAUCCAUAGGUUAAUGAGGCGAACCGGGGGAACUGAAACAUCUAAGUACCCCGAGGAAAAGAAAUCAACCGAGAUUCCCCCAGUAGCGGCGAGCGAACGGGGAGCAGCCCAGAGCCUGAAUCAGUGUGUGUGUUAGUGGAAGCGUCUGGAAAGGCGCGCGAUACAGGGUGACAGCCCCGUACACAAAAAUGCACAUGCUGUGAGCUCGAUGAGUAGGGCGGGACACGUGGUAUCCUGUCUGAAUAUGGGGGGACCAUCCUCCAAGGCUAAAUACUCCUGACUGACCGAUAGUGAACCAGUACCGUGAGGGAAAGGCGAAAAGAACCCCGGCGAGGGGAGUGAAAAAGAACCUGAAACCGUGUACGUACAAGCAGUGGGAGCCUCUUUAUGGGGUGACUGCGUACCUUUUGUAUAAUGGGUCAGCGACUUAUAUUCUGUAGCAAGGUUAACCGAAUAGGGGAGCCGAAGGGAAACCGAGUCUUAACUGGGCGUUAAGUUGCAGGGUAUAGACCCGAAACCCGGUGAUCUAGCCAUGGGCAGGUUGAAGGUUGGGUAACACUAACUGGAGGACCGAACCGACUAAUGUUGAAAAAUUAGCGGAUGACUUGUGGCUGGGGGUGAAAGGCCAAUCAAACCGGGAGAUAGCUGGUUCUCCCCGAAAGCUAUUUAGGUAGCGCCUCGUGAAUUCAUCUCCGGGGGUAGAGCACUGUUUCGGCAAGGGGGUCAUCCCGACUUACCAACCCGAUGCAAACUGCGAAUACCGGAGAAUGUUAUCACGGGAGACACACGGCGGGUGCUAACGUCCGUCGUGAAGAGGGAAACAACCCAGACCGCCAGCUAAGGUCCCAAAGUCAUGGUUAAGUGGGAAACGAUGUGGGAAGGCCCAGACAGCCAGGAUGUUGGCUUAGAAGCAGCCAUCAUUUAAAGAAAGCGUAAUAGCUCACUGGUCGAGUCGGCCUGCGCGGAAGAUGUAACGGGGCUAAACCAUGCACCGAAGCUGCGGCAGCGACGCUAUGCGUUGUUGGGUAGGGGAGCGUUCUGUAAGCCUGCGAAGGUGUGCUGUGAGGCAUGCUGGAGGUAUCAGAAGUGCGAAUGCUGACAUAAGUAACGAUAAAGCGGGUGAAAAGCCCGCUCGCCGGAAGACCAAGGGUUCCUGUCCAACGUUAAUCGGGGCAGGGUGAGUCGACCCCUAAGGCGAGGCCGAAAGGCGUAGUCGAUGGGAAACAGGUUAAUAUUCCUGUACUUGGUGUUACUGCGAAGGGGGGACGGAGAAGGCUAUGUUGGCCGGGCGACGGUUGUCCCGGUUUAAGCGUGUAGGCUGGUUUUCCAGGCAAAUCCGGAAAAUCAAGGCUGAGGCGUGAUGACGAGGCACUACGGUGCUGAAGCAACAAAUGCCCUGCUUCCAGGAAAAGCCUCUAAGCAUCAGGUAACAUCAAAUCGUACCCCAAACCGACACAGGUGGUCAGGUAGAGAAUACCAAGGCGCUUGAGAGAACUCGGGUGAAGGAACUAGGCAAAAUGGUGCCGUAACUUCGGGAGAAGGCACGCUGAUAUGUAGGUGAAGUCCCUUGCGGAUGGAGCUGAAAUCAGUCGAAGAUACCAGCUGGCUGCAACUGUUUAUUAAAAACACAGCACUGUGCAAACACGAAAGU
rnacentral:rRNA from 1 species